GUGUCAGCCGCCGCGGUAAUACGGAGGGAGCUAGCGUUGUUCGGAAUUACUGGGCGUAAAGCGCACGUAGGCGGCUAUUCAAGUCAGGGGUGAAAUCCCGGGGCUCAACCCCGGAACUGCCUCUGAAACUAGGUAGCUAGAAUCUUGGAGAGGUCAGUGGAAUUCCGAGUGUAGAGGUGAAAUUCGUAGAUAUUCGGAAGAACACCAGUGGCGAAGGCGACUGACUGGACAAGCAUUGACGCUGAGGUGCGAAAGCGUGGGGAGCAAACAGGAUUAGAAACCCCGGUAGUCC
rnacentral:rRNA from 1 species